rnacentral:rRNA from 1 species
AUUGAACGCUGGCGGCAGGCCUAACACAUGCAAGUCGAGCGGAUGAGUGGAGCUUGCUCCAUGAUUCAGCGGCGGACGGGUGAGUAAUGCCUAGGAAUCUGCCUGGUAGUGGGGGACAACGUUUCGAAAGGAACGCUAAUACCGCAUACGACCUACGGGAGAAAGCAGGGGACCUUCGGGCCUUGCGCUAUCAGAUGGGCCUAGGUCGGAUUAGCUAGUAGGUGGGGUAAUGGCCCACCUAGGCGACGAUCCGUAACUGGUCUGAGAGGAUGAUCAGUCACACUGGAACUGAGACACGGUCCAGACUCCUACGGGAGGCAGCAGUGGGGAAUAUUGGACAAUGGGCGAAAGCCUGAUCCAGCCAUGCCGCGUGUGUGAAGAAGGUCUUCGGAUUGUAAAGCACUUUAAGUUGGGAGGAAGGGCAGUAAGUUAAUACCUUGCUGUUUUGACGUUACCAACAGAAUAAGCACCGGCUAACUUCGUGCCAGCCGCCGCGGUAA